UCUUAUCCAGAGAGGUGGAGGGACUGGCCCGAUGAAACCCGGCAACUGGCCUUGCAGGACAUCCUGAAAGGCGCUGUGCUAAAUCCUGCAGAUUCAAGUUCUGGCAGAUAAGA
rnacentral:ncRNA from 1 species